rnacentral:rRNA from 1 species
UACGUAGGGGUCAAGCGUUGUCCGGAAUCAUUGGGCGUAAAGAGCGUGUAGGCGGCUCGGUAAGUCCGCUCUGAAAGCCCGGGGCUCAACCCCGGGAGGCGGGCGGAUACUGUCGGGCUAGAGUCCGGAAGAGGCGAGUGGAAUUCCUGGUGUAGCGGUGAAAUGCGCAGAUAUCAGGAGGAACACCAAUGGCGAAGGCAGCUCGCUGGGACGGUACUGACGCUGAGACGCGAAAGCGUGGGGAGCAAACAGG